rnacentral:rRNA from 1 species
UUGGAGGGCAAGUCUGGUGCCAGCAGCCGCGGUAAUUCCAGCUCCAAUAGCGUAUAUUAAAGUUGUUGCAGUUAAAAAGCUCGUAGUUGAAUUUCGGGGUUCUUCCGUUGGUCAGGCUAACCAGUCUGUACUAGCGUGUAGAAUCUCUACCUUCUGGGGAACCAUCAUGUUAUUAAUUUAGCGUGGUGGGAAACCAGGACCUUUACCUUGAAAAAAUUAGAGUGUUCAAAGCAGGCUUACGUCUGAAUACAUUAGCAUGGAAUAAUAAAAUAGGACGGUGGUCCUGUUUUGUUGGUUUCUGAAUCACCGUAAUGAUUAAUAGGGACAGUUGGGGGCAUUAGUAUUCAAUUGUCAGAGGUGAAAUUCUUGGAUUUAUUGAAGACUAACUUCUGCGAAAGCAUUUGCCAAGGAUGAUUUCAUUAAUCAAGAACGAAAGUUAGGGGAUCGAAGACGAUCAGAUACCGUCGUAGUCUUAACCAUAAACUAUGCCGACUAGGGAUCGGACGAUGUUAAAUUUUAUUGACUCGUUCGGCGCCUUACGGGAAAC